CGACCAUUCAUGAAAACUGCC
rnacentral:miRNA from 1 species